rnacentral:lncRNA from 1 species
CCCCUUGUGGACGUAUGUUGUAGCGUUGUCCGACUAACUCACCCCUUGUGGACGUGUGUUGUCCGACUAACUCACCUCUUGUGGACGUAUGUUGUAGCGUUGUCCGACUAACUCACCACUUGUGGACGUGUGUUGUAGCGUUGUCAGACUAACUCACCCCUUGUGGACGUAUGUUGUAGCGUUGUCCGACUAACUCACCCCUUGUGGACGUACACUAACUCACCCCUUGUGGACGUGCGUUGUCCGACUAACUCACCCCUUGUGGACGGUGGCGUUGUCCGACUAACUCACCCCUUGUGGACGUGAGUUGUCCGACUAACUCACCCCUUGUGGACGUGCGUUGU